rnacentral:rRNA from 1 species
UACGAAGGACCCGAGCGUUAUCCGGAUUUAUUGGGUUUAAAGGGUGCGUAGGCGGAUUAGUAAGUCAGUGGUGAAAGCCCGUCGCUUAACGGCGGAACUGCCAUUGAUACUGCUAGUCUUGAGUAUGGUUGAGGUGGGCGGAAUGUGUCAUGUAGCGGUGAAAUGCUUAGAUAUGACCCAGAACACCAAUUGCGAAGGCAGCUCGCUAAGCCAUAACUGACGCUGAGGCACGAAAGCGUGGGGAGCAAACGGG